UGAGCCACACAUUGUCUACUCUGAUGUGGGGAUUCAUACUUCAGGGCAGUCAGCUGAUGCCGGGUGUUGUGUAUUCAUCAGUGAGAGCAGGAAACUGAGGAUACACUCAGCCUGAUGGACGACCUUCAUGACACCAUGCUGAUCCAGUCUUCUUCGAAAUGCUUCUGAAUGUCUUAUUUUAGCUCUUACUGCAGGAUGUGUCAUUGUUAGCAGCUAC